rnacentral:rRNA from 1 species
UACGGAGGGUGCGAGCGUUGUUCGGAAUUACUGGGCGUAAAGCGCGUGUAGGCGGCUCGUUGAGUCCGAUGUGAAAUCCCUGGGCUUAACCCAGGACGUGCAUUGGAUACUGGCGGGCUUGAGUACGGGAGAGGAGAGUGGAAUUCCUAGUGUAGAGGUGAAAUUCGUAGAUACUAGGAGGAACACCGGUGGCGAAGGCGGCUCUCUGGCCCGAUACUGACGCUGAGACGCGAAAGCGUGGGGAG